GUGAAUCAUCGAAUCUUUGAACGCAAAUUGCACUCUUUUCGGAGAGUAUGAGUGUUUCAGGGUGAGCAUAUAAAAAAUCGACAUCGCCGCUGCUUCGCGGUGGCGUUCGUGGGAAAUUGGGUCAUGUUCAAUCUUUUGGUCCUCCGUGACUUAAAAUUUCCUUUUUGGUUCUAUGAACGUUUCUAAGAUUUAUUUCUUUAGACGUUUAAGGUAUCGAUUUCUAUUAGACGUGACCAUCACAUCGGAU
rnacentral:misc_RNA from 1 species